CUGAAGGAGCACCGCGUCAAUGCAGUUGUCUGUCAUAUUGCCGGGCAGAACCACGCUGUCUAUUACUUGUUGUAUUUGAGAUAGAUCGACUUUCAUUCUAAUCUAUUAAUUAUAACUUUUAUAUCAACGGACAACCUAAUUAACGGCCAAAUGUGUUUUCUCUCGCCACUGGAGUGUUACGGCGGCUUUGGUCGGUGCACACGUGCGCGGAGAUUGGAUGCCGGGGCGGCGACCAGGGGAAGCACAAACCCUAUCAAGCGGCGUGACACAUGCACCUAGUAUGUGUGAACGUGGGGAUGCUGAGUGAAAAAAGGAGAAGUACGAAUGAUGAUCCCAUAUUUUAGGUAUUGCAUGUGAUGCAUGCAUAUAUCAAGGGCAAUGUACGCUUGUUUUUUUCUUCCAAUAAACGCAUAUAUGCAUGCAUAUUGCAAGGCAUCAGCCCAUGUCUACGCUAGCUUUUUUUUAGAUUGACCACUCAUGCGUGCAUAUUGGGUCCGAGUACACGCACGAUAUUUUGUUUUUCUAGAUGAGAUUGGUCUAUCAUGCAUAUGCAUUUUGGUUGGCACGAGCCCAUGUCCCACCCCUGGUCCCACCCAUGCAUGUUAGCUUUUUUAGCCCAUGUCGCAUGUACGCCAGUUUUUUUAGAUUGAUGGCUCUUAGAUCUAAUCUGUUAAUUAUGUCUUUUAAGUUACGCGUCCACCAAAUUAACGGCUAGAUUUUCUAUUUUCUUUUGGUAAUUUCUAGUUUUUUGUGCGUCAGACGUGGUAGUUUUUUUGUUUUUUGUUUUGACGGAAGUGAGAUUUAGAAUAAGAGAUGUGGUAAAAAAAUAUUCUUUACAGGACAUGAGAUCUAGUAGUUUUUCCAGGAUUAAUCAGAUCCACCAGUUUUACAUGUAGUUACGUGAGAUCUUCUAGUAUUUAUUUAAAUUUAAAGGGACAUGUAGGUAGACAUAAGGUGUGUAUGUACAUGCUAAGGAAAGAUGCACUUUUUAUCUUAUUUACUUGUUUAAAUGGAUAUGUAGAUAGAUAUAAGGUAUGUAUAUUUCUUCUCAACUGCACGUGAUCUAUUUUUCCCUUUUUAGGGUACACAUACUCUAUCUUUAUUUUAGCAUUGAGCCACCGCAUGCACAGGCUAAAAGCUGCAGUUUUUUUUGAGAUGAAGCGCUCUUAGAUCUAAUGCAUUAGUUUUGUCCUUUUACGUUUUGGGCCCACCAAAUCAACGACCAGAUGUUUCUAAUUAUUCUGGUAAUUUCUAGCUUAUUUAUCUUUUUUCUGGUUAUCCGUCAAGCACUUUUUAUAAAUUAAAGGGACAUGUAGGUAGACAUAAGGUGUGUACGUACAUGCUAAGGAAAGAUGCACUUUUUAUCUUAUUUACUCUAGUUUAAAGGGAUAUGUAGGUAGAUAUAAGGUACUAGCGGGUAGUGCGCGGCGGCAUGCCGCGCCACAUGGACUAAUUAGCUAUUUAUUUAUUUUUUUAAUAUUUUGUAAGUGGUCCAAAGACAUUUUUUUGGCAAAGAUUAGUACAUUUGUGGUACAUAGGAGAGAGAUCGUGAUGCAGUAGUGCAUACAAGAAAAUGGUUCGUCUAGUUAGAGUUUUUGUUCUUUUCUUGGACCUAAAAUGUUGAUCAUCCGGUUAGAUGGGUGGUUUUAAGUUUGUGGAUGCACAUCUCGGCUCUCGGUGGAUUAGCAAGAUAUCUUGAAAUUGGAGGCAAAUUUUCUUGAAUAUCCUUAUUCGUCUUCAUUUGUCUCGUUGAAGGCUUGCUUUUUGUUGUUUUUGUAUUUAUAAUAACUCUUCUUUCUUGGUCUUUCUCCAUUCUUGGGCGGCCAAAUAGCUCUUAUACAUUGUCUUCAUAGCAUUGUAGUUGUAGUCAUCGAUGACUAUAUUGGGAAGAUUGCAUAGAUGGUGGACAACGUGUAAUGCCUGGCCGCACGCCGCGCCAUCUUUUUUUAAGGUUUGGUAGUAGAAUUGAGUUGCAAUAUAGUGGUUCAUACAGAGAAGGGUAACAUGUGAUUUACAUUGUCUACUACAAUGCCGUUGAUUCAUGCUUCGGCGAUGUAAUAAGCAUGUGAGGACACGUACUCUCUCACUCAGCUAGCUACAUACUUGUGGCGCACCUGCUCCGCUCACCCUCGGCACGUGUCUCACCAACAGUCAAACAAAGCAGAGGAAGGGGGAGAGAGGAGCAGAGGCAGAGGAAGGAGAUGAGAGGUCAGCUGGCCAUGGAUGGCAGUGGUGCCAAGGCGGGCUAUGCACACCACCACGGCACCGCCACUCGAGGCCUUUAGCCGCACCGUCGAGCUGUGCAACUUCGGCAUCGGCCUCGUCGCCGGCUUCCUCCUCGUCACCUGCGCCUACUUCUCCAACACCAAGUUCGACGCCAUCCACAUCGCCCGGCUCAAUUGCCUCGCCGGUGGGCACUGAUGGCUCGAAGCGCCAAUUAGAUUUGGGCAUGUCGGGGCAGGACGCAACAUUGUCCAUGGACGGAGCAAGGGCGAGGUGCUGGACACGGACGGUGAGGACGACAGAAGCAACCCCUCCUCGGCGUAAGGUAGGCAACAAACCAUUUGAUUAUUACUGUCAUGCACCGGCCAUGGCCAUGGCUCGAGCUGCAGCGGCCGCCUGCCGCGCCUUACCCAUGCACUUUGGGGAAAAGGUGAGAGCAAACUGUAUACUGACAUAAACAAUCAUAGCUAGGAUGAACAUUAUUCGGAAGUGUCAACACUCACCAAGAGUUUCAAGUGAAUCUAAAGCCACAGAUGUUUGAACAUAUGCCUUUACUGAAUGGAUGAACUCUGUCUGGAAUUCCCCUGCAAGUAGUACAACUCUAGUGUUUCAGACAAUGAUAAAUCAUUAAAUCAAACCAAACUGAAAUUUGAGACGCUUAAAAAAUCACAUACCUUAAGUAGAAUGGAAAAAAAUGUAAAGGCACAUAUAGUGUACUUGUGAAACUAUUUUCAGCUCACCUGUCCUACCUAAACCACAAACGGAAAAAUGUAAUGAAAAUCCACCUUCCAUUAGAAAGAAAAGGAUGUAGAUGAAAAUUCUAAAUCUGUAAUGAAAACAUAAAUAGACGAAAGUUCCUCGCAACAACUGAGCAAGAUUGCAAGUAUGCAUCAUGAAAUUUAUCUUGUGUACUUGUGCCAACAAAUAAACUACAAUACACAACCAAAACUUGGGUGGUAAUAUACCAUGUCGAUGCAAACUUGCAUCAAUUAGUCUAGAUAACCAGAAGUAACAAUGCAGUGCUCCUAAUAGAACCGUGGAAGCCAGCCUAUAUGGUCCCUUGCUCCUUUGUUCAUUUAUUGUAAAAUUCACUUUUAAAAUAAAAAACAUUAAUAUUGAUUCCUGUAGGUGUCAAUAAUGAAUGGUUUGAAAACUGCAAAAACAGUACACUCAAGUGAUUGUGAUGCGGAUAAUUCAGAAGAAGAAGCAGCACAAAUAAUGCCAAUUUUCACGAUCUUCCUCUUUUGAAGCCCGCAAACUGACAUGAUCAUUUGGAACAUUGGUCGAAGGACUAAGUAUCCAUGAAUUUGGAUGCCUUUCUCCGACGUUUGCUCAAAAUGGCUGGUCCAUCAAUCUUACAGCACAAAUCCUGUCACGGGUGCCUUGCAUUAGUUAUUUUGCGCCUGCUUGC